UACGUAGGGGGCAAGCGUUAUCCGGAAUUACUGGGUGUAAAGGGUGCGUAGGCGGGUAUUUAAGUCAGAUGUGAAGACCACAGGCUCAACUUGUGGACUGCAUUUGAAACUGGAUAUCUUGAGUGCAGGAGAGGAAAGUGGAAUUCCUAGUGUAGCGGUGAAAUGCGUAGAUAUUAGGAGGAACACCAGUGGCGAAGGCGGCUUUCUGGACUGUAACUGACGCUGAGGCACGAAAGUGUGGGGAGCAAACAGG
rnacentral:rRNA from 1 species